rnacentral:rRNA from 1 species
GACGAACGCUGGCGGCGUGCUUAACACAUGCAAGUCGAACGGAAAGGCCUGCUUUCCCUUGUGGAUUGCGGGUACUCGAGUGGCGAACGGGUGAGUAACACGUGAGUGAUCUGCCCCCAACUUGGGUAUAAGCCUGGGAAACUGGGUCUAAUUCCCGAUAGGACUGCAGGGUGGUGCCUGUGGUGGAAAACGAUUUUCUAGUGGUUGGGGAUGAGCUCGCGGCCUAUCAGCUUGUUGGUGGGGUAAUGGCCUACCAAGGCGGCGACGGGUAGCCGGCCUGAGAGGGUGGACGGCGACAUUGGGACUGAGAUACGGCCCAGACUCCUACGGGAGGCAGCAGUGGGGAAUAUUGCACAAUGGGCGGAAGCCUGAUGCGGCGACGCCGCGUGGGGGAUGACGGCCUUCGGGUUGUAAACUCCUUUCGACCGCGAGGAAGCCACCUGGUUGGAAGGGUGGUGACGGUAGUGGUAGAAGAAGCACCGGCUAACUACGUG